GAUGAACGCUGGCGGCGUGCCUAAUACAUGCAAGUCGAGCGAACAGACGAGGAGCUUGCUCCUCUGACGUUAGCGGCGGACGGGUGAGUAACACGUGGAUAACCUACCUAUAAGACUGGGAUAACUUCGGGAAACCGGAGCUAAUACCGGAUAAUAUAUUGAACCGCAUGGUUCAAUAGUGAAAGACGGUUUUGCUGUCACUUAUAGAUGGAUCCGCGCCGCAUUAGCUAGUUGGUAAGGUAACGGCUUACCAAGGCAACGAUGCGUAGCCGACCUGAGAGGGUGAUCGGCCACACUGGAACUGAGACACGGUCCAGACUCCUACGGGAGGCAGCAGUAGGGAAUCUUCCGCAAGGGGCGAAAGCCUGACGGAGCAACGCCGCGGGAGUGAUGAAGGUCUUCGGAUCGUAAAACUCUGUUAUUAGGGAAGAACAAAUGUGUAAGUAACGAUGCACGUCUUGACGGUACCUAAUCAGAAAGCCACGGCUAACUACGU
rnacentral:rRNA from 1 species